AUAAAUAAAAGUUCAGUGUUCUUUUUACCUGUUUAGCCAAUUUUCAGCAAGACUCUAGUUCCCAAGAGUCACUUCACACCAAAUUCUCCUAUUGAUUUGUGUUCUUGAAGUAGAUUCUGAAGAUAAGAUAUGCAAUCAUUUAAUGUAUGCACAGAUCCAUGGUUUAACCACUCUCUACUACCACACACAGCAUUUUGUCAGUGCUUUUCUCAUUUCAGAGGGAUUUCAGAGAAACUGGCCUGCACAAUUCAACUCGAUUUUGAAAUCCAGAUGAAUGUGUUGUGAUUUCUUCUGAAACAUGUAUGUUUAUCCUCUUAAAUUUGUCACUGAAACCUGGGAAAAAUAAGCAGCCCAAGUGGGGGACAGCCCACUUCCUGAAUGUUCCAAAACAUGUCAAGUUCACUAACCAAGCCCUGAGAGAUGAGUCUGAGGAGAUGUGCAAGGAGACAAAGGAAUGGCUGCUAGUGGUUUUGGACUUGAAUCAAAAAAGUCCUAUGAACAGAAACGAAGAAAAUUUAUUUUCUUCAACAAUCCCCAUUCAAAAAACCUUGGAGAAGGAACCUCUCAUCCAGUCUUUGUUACUUGCCAGUUUCUAGAAGAAUCACCGUGGUCUGGGAAACAAGAUCAGACUAGCCUAAUUUGGAAGACUUAUCACUCUCAUCCAUAAGAUUACAGAAGCAUUCUGCAAAACAUAUGUAUGGACUCAACAACAUGAAAAAGUAUAUUUCAGAAUAAGAAAAUUGGUAGAAAUAAGGACAAAUGUUCAUGACAGCAUUAUCUUCUCCUGCUUCAUGUGCUGUGCUGUAAUUUUUCCUAGUGUUUUCUACUCCCACCUCUAAGGCAGUCAGUUGGUUAUGUUCUAUGAUACCAUUGGUAAUAUACUUUAAUGCAUCUCAUUAUGAUGUCAUUCUAUGAUCCAAUCUGUCGUUGACAACUUGGAUCUUGUCAGAUGCAUUCUGAGCAACUCUUAUGUCUCACAUCCCAGACAUAUCUUCGGCUAAGAUAAAAAUUAUAUGGGGAAGAAUCUGGUACUCUCUAGACCUGAAAUUCUGGGGGCUGUUUUAUUUUUCAUUUCUCUGUGAUUUAUAAAUUUAAAACCUAUACAUUAUUUUUUCUGUGGAACAGUAUAUUGAGCCUUAAAGCUAAUAUUAAACUGUCUUAAAAUAAUUUAAAAUAGUAUCUUAUUUAAUCCCAUCACAUUCUUGUUGAGAACAUCUUACAAUAUCCAUUUUGUAUAUGAGUAAGCUAAUGUCCUUAGAGAUCAAGUAGUCUGUUUAAAGGCUCAUGAAUUUGUUAGUGUCUAAGUCUCCUGACUCUUUGUACAACAUUCUUUGCAUUUUGUGGCACUGCUAUUAUUGUUGUUAUUAAAACCCAUCUUUAGGCUUGCAUUCAUCUGCAUUUCUGCACAUCUUCUGAGAUGCUCCAUUUCAAGCCAAUAUUCUGAUUUUAAAAAAUGAUCUUAAGUACAGAUUUAAUCAAACAUUACGUUGUUAAUACACUUCAAAGUCCAUUUUCUUUCCCUAACUAAAACAUACCCUGAAUGAGUAGAUAUUGGCUAUGCUUCGACUUAGUCAAGGAUACCAAGUGUAAAAGAGC
rnacentral:lncRNA from 12 species